CGGACGGGUGAGUAACGCGUGGGUAACCUGCCUUGUACAGGGGGAUAACAGUUGGAAACGGCUGCUAAUACCGCAUAAGCGCACGGCAUCGCAUGAUGCAGUGUGAAAAACUCCGGUGGUAUAAGAUGGGCCCGCGUUGGAUUAGCUAGUUGGUGAGGUAACGGCCCACCAAGGCGACGAUCCAUAGCCGACCUGAGAGGGUGACCGGCCACAUUGGGACUGAGACACGGCCCAA
rnacentral:rRNA from 1 species